GAUUUACAUUUGAGUGAGUGGCGAACUGGUGAGUAACACGUGGGAAACCUGCCCAGAAGCGGGGGAUAACACCUGGAAACAGAUGCUAAUACCGCAUAACAACUUGGACCGCAUGGUCCGAGUUUGAAAGAUGGCUUCGGCUAUCACUUUUGGAUGGUCCCGCGGCGUAUUAGCUAGAUGGUGGGGUAACGGCUCACCAUGGCAAUGAUACGUAGCCGACCUGAGAGGGUAAUCGGCCACAUUGGGACUGAGACACGGCCCAAACUCCUACGGGAGGCAGCAGUAGGGAAUCUUCCACAAUGGACGAAAGUCUGAUGGAGCAACGCCGCGUGAGUGAAGAAGGGUUUCGGCUCGUAAAACUCUGUUGUUAAAGAAGAACAUAUCUGAGAGUAACUGUUCAGGUAUUGACGGUAUUUAACCAGAAAGCCACGGCUAACUACGUGCCAGCAGCCGCGGUAAUACGUAGGUGGCAAGCGUUGUCCGGAUUUAUUGGGCGUAAAGCGAGCGCAGGCGGUUUUUUAAGUCUGAUGUGAAAGCCUUCGGCUCAACCGAAGAAGUGCAUCGGAAACUGGGAAACUUGAGUGCAGAAGAGGACAGUGGAACUCCAUGUGUAGCGGUGAAAUGCGUAGAUAUAUGGAAGAACACCAGUGGCGAAGGCGGCUGUCUGGUCUGUAACUGACGCUGAGGCUCGAAAGUAUGGGUAGCAAACAGGAUUAGAUACCCUGGUAGUCCAUACCGUAAACGAUGAAUGCUAAGUGUUGGAGGGUUUCCGCCCUUCAGUGCUGCAGCUAACGCAUUAAGCAUUCCGCCUGGGGAGUACGGCCGCAAGG
rnacentral:rRNA from 2 species